UCCGGUAUGGUGUAAUGGCUAACAUUAUCGCCACUCAUGCUGUGGGGUUCGAUUCCCCAUGUCGGAA